UACGUAGGGGGCAAGCGUUGUUCGGAAUUACUGGGCGUAAAGGGCUCGUAGGCGGCCUGCUAAGUCGAACGUGAAAUCCCUGGGCUCAACCCAGGAACUGCGUCCGAUACUGGUUGGCUUGAAUCCGGGAGAGGGAUGUGGAAUUCCAGGUGUAGCGGUGAAAUGCGUAGAUAUCUGGAGGAACACCGGUGGCGAAGGCGACAUCCUGGACCGGUAUUGACGCUGAGGCGCGAAAGCCAGGGGAGCAAACGGG
rnacentral:rRNA from 1 species